rnacentral:piRNA from 1 species
GGGACCAUGAAUUUUGCUUCUGAAGA